rnacentral:lncRNA from 1 species
GAUGGGUCUUGGGGGAGACCAAGGGUGCCCUGCUCAAUGUCAGCCCUGACUCUGUGCCACGUGCACUCAGCUCUGCCACGGAGGUGCAUGGCUCUGUAGACGUGGACGGUGAGCUGGGGAGGAAGGUGGUCUUGGAGAGAAAUGCCCCAUGGGGAGCUGAGACCUGUGUGUCAUGGGAUCAUCCUGGAUUUGGCUUAAAAUCCACGUGGCUGUGGAAAUCCCAGGGUGCACCGAGGAUCUGUGGGGGAGCAGGGGUAAGUCCAGGUGAACCUCGAGCUGUUCUCAGCCCUGAGGUUUGGGUCACUCCGAGAGCACUUGGGUCUCUGCCGAACGGCACAGAUCAUUCUCAGGCCCUUACAACCAUCCGGGUCACUCUAGAAUUCCUUUUAGGACUCCUGGGCUGGGCUGUGGCUAUUCAGGACUCUGGGUAAGAGCCCUUGGAGUCACCUGGGAGGUAGAAUCGCCAUUUUCUAGCAGCCAUCUUGAAUGGCAGAUUCCCUGCAGUUCAAGCUGGGGCUGCCCAAGGGGUUCUGGGGGGUCCUGGGUGCCUUCCAGUUGCCCCUCCAGGUGCACCCCCUCCUCCCCCAGGACACUGACCGGCGGGGGCCAUCGUGGGGGACCUUGUGCUCUCUGGCUCUGGCUGGCUCAGCCAGUGGGAGCCUGUGGGGCUGGGAGGGAGGAGGGUGUGAUGAGGCAUCUCCUUCCCGCUGGGCUCCUCCCCACCUCUUUCCUCCUUUUCCAAGUCCCCUGACCAUCCCUCCCCUAUCUCUCCAGGUCUCUUAAAUUACCACGGUGCCAGCUACAUGGCCCGGGUGGGUGGUUCCCCACACUGCCUACCCCUUCAUACCUCGCCCCAUUACACCCUCCUGGAAUCAUUCUCACUGGAGGCUGCACCGUUUCCUGCUGCCCACGAUGAACAAAGCAGGAAACUGUCUUUUCCAGACUUCCCCACGAAGUGAGGUUUUGACGACCUCAUUCUCCAAGAGCAAACCCAGCCCCUGGAGUCCGUUCUUUCCCUGCGCGCGUGGACACCCCUGCAGCAGUGGCUCCUUUUGGUGGCCGCUCUUCAGACACGUGCUAGAGAGCAAUCAUUGAUGACAACGUUUUCUUUCAAAAGGCCCAGAAAACAAAAUUAAAUCUUGGGACUCGAAGCUUCCUGGGCCUGUGCCACGAAGGCCCAUGCUUAGCCGGUCUGGUGCCAGGCUCUGUGACGUGUGGAAACCAGGCCCACCGACCACACAGCAGUGGCUGAGGAUGGCUCCCUCCUCGGCUACUCUCUGAAAUGGUAGAGGCCACUCUCAUGGCUGAGUGGUCUCCGCCGUUCUGCAGAGGUGUGGAUAAGAACAGGAGUUCCUGCUUGUCUCCUAGGGGUCCGUAUUGAACGUUGGCAAUCAGUGGAAAUCCUGUCUCAGGCCCUCUCGGGGCCCCACACUGAUCAUUGUAUUUAAAUCCUCCCAGUGUCCUGCAGACACCUACCUCCCAGACCAAAGAGGGACCUUGCUGGUGGCCAGGAAACAAGCUGAAGCACAGAGAGGAGAGAAAGAGACAGAGUUGGGUCCUCGGGUCACCUUAAAAGGCUGUGAGACUUUUUGCCAGGGCAGGGCCUGGCGGGUGGUGGAGAUGCAGGAUGAAGGACUUAAGGAGGGAUCUUUUACUUUCAGUGUGAAAGUGACCUGUGUUUUUAUGAGGGGGCUAGAGAAAUACUCAGAAUCUGAGAGCAGGCAGUUGGAGUGGGAUCUCAGCAAACUUCCGUGUCUGCAUGGUCCUGCAACCAUCGCCCUGGACAGAGGUCUCAGCUGGGUAGAGAUGGACGGUUGUCAGGGCACAGCCUGUCCUUAGGGGGUGCUAGGAAUGGGGAUUGGGGUGAAGAGGAGUUCAGGAAAGAGGGGUGAGGCAUGGGGAACCUGCUGGCUUAGAGGAUGCAAAGGGGCAGGUUUUAUGGACGCUUUAUGCAGGUCCCUUUCAUAAAGAUACUUGCCCAGCCUGAGCAGAAACCCACACCCUAGAGUUUGUUUCUUCCCUGUGGGCACCCCCCGCCCCCGCAGCAGCGGCUUCUUUCAGUGGCAGAGGCUGACUCUUUUUGCAGCUUCUCCAGCACUUGCAAAUGCAACUUCCUUGCACCCACUUCAGACACUUUACAGCUGGAACCCCUUCCUUCAAGGUUAGGGGCCCAGGCCCACAGCCCCUACCUCCAAGUUUCCACGUUUGAAGAAUCCCAACCUUUUCCCUUUGCCUCCUCAGCCUCAGGGGUGACACCUCAGAGCUCCUGUUUACCUCUUUAGCCACCAGGUUAGUAAUUUUACACCCAUGCAAGUGUGUACAGGAAUCUUCCGGAUCCAAGUGGCUGGUGUGGGCGUUGUCUUCUGUCUGAACCCUGGCCCUUGUCUGUGCAGAUUCCUCCCCUCCUGUCCGGGAGAGAAGAGACAGUUUCGAUGUCAUGUGGAGACAGGAGGCUGUGGUCAACGAGGGGAGGCUGUGGUCAACGAGGGGAGGCUGUGGUGGGGGGUGGCGUUCUGAGUCACUUGGCUGGCUUGGGAAUGUGAGCUGGGCCAGGUGCACCUUAGAGAGCCUGGGUGGUGCUGGGGACCUUCAGGCUCUGGAGUCCUGGGUGACCCUGACAGGUGCAUGUACCCACAUCUCCUUGGCCCCUGUCUCUGUUGCUAAUGUCCCUGCACAGACCCCCCCCAGCCGUCAUUUACAGAUUCCCAGCAGUGAAGCACACGGGCUUAGGUUAAAAUCACUGAGCCCCUUGCACAGCGGCCUUCUGGUCCCCUCUGCUGUAAGGCAGGACCACCUGUCAGCCCCUGUCUUCUGGGGACCCCACUAGGCCUAAGAGAUGAGGCUGUGGGGUUCUGUCUUCUGGAGGCCCCACUAGGCCUAAGAGAUGAGGCCGGCGGCGGAGGUCUGGCCUGGAAGAGAAAUGUGGUGAGUCACCCCAGGCCUGACAGAUUCACUCAGACCUGGUCCUUCUGCUCCUAGGCUGAGCCAUCUCUCAGGGACCCUCCUGCCCUCCUUCACCUCUCACCUGGCCUGCCCCAACCAGUUCUCCAGGCAAGCCCAAACCAGUUCCACCUGGUUUGUGACUGUGUUUGGAAAGAGGGUCUUUGCCGAGGUAAUUAAGUUAAAAUGAGGUCAUGUGAGUGGGCCCUGAGCCAGUCUGAUGGGUGUCCUUACAGGAAGACAUUAGGACUCCCAGAGGGUGACUCCAGGGGCAGGUGGCUUGGAGGACUGGCCGUGCAAGGAGGCAGCAAAGGGGCGGCCAUCUGCAAGCUGAGGGCAGAGGCCUUGGAGGAAGCAGCCCUGCCAGUGCUGGUAACUCCUGCAGGUCGGAAGUCCAAACCAAGGUGCUGGAAGGGCUGGUUCCUUCCGGACCCUUCAGGGGAGAAUCUUUCUGCCUCUUUGGCUUCUUGAGGCCCCUUCCUGGCAUUGCUUCUUUCUCCACUGACUCCUACCAUCAGCGCUGAGUCCUGCCUGCCUCUUAUAAGGUACUUCUUUCUCCACUGACUCUUACCAUCAGCGCUGAGUCCUGCCUGCCUCUUAUAAGGCGCUUCUGGGAUGACUCCUGGUGCACCCAAUAAUCCAGGGUCAUCUCUCCAGAUCCAGGUUCAUAACCCAAUCACCCCCACAAAGGGAGGUCACGUGUUCCCAAGCUCCAGGGAUCAGGAGGAGGGCAUCUUUGGGGGUGAUACUAUGCAGCUGACCACAGCCUCUCUCCACCUGGGCUCCCACACCCACCCUAUUCUGCAGAUCUUCAGAGGCCACCUGGGAUGUCAGAAGCUUCCAGGAACCAGGAGGAGAUGGAAUGGGAUGGGCUCUGGGCCCGGCCAAGCAGAGCAGGAUAGGGCUGAGAGUCAUCUGAGCACAGGUGGUUCAAAUGGCAGAGAAGCUCCACGCUGGAGCGGGGAAGAGCUUGGGCUUUCCGGCCAGAAAGCGCAGGUUUUGGCCACGGCUCUUCUGCCACUCACUAGAUGUGGGAGUUUGGAGGCGUUACCCGAGCUCUGAGCCUUACUUUCCUCAUCUGAAAAAUGGGAAUAAUGGUAGGGUUAAAUUAAACCAAAUUUGGUCUGAGGAUGCCUCUGCACUUUGAGUCCAACUGCGACCUUAGCAGCAAAUGAACUGCAGGCCUAGCUUAGGAGUGUACUUUUGUAAGAAAUAGCCGAGUCUUAGCCAAUCACAGCAGCUGAGCUUCUAUAAAUCGCAGGUGGCUGCUGAGUAGUCCAUGUUCAAACACGGCAAACCAAGCUGUGACCAAUGAGCUGUCUCUGCAGCUCACUUCCAUUUUCUGUCUAUAAACACUCCCUGCCCACACUGUGGAGUGGAGCUCAGCCCUUGGAACCUCUUCUGGUCUGAGGGCUGCCCACUUCAUGAAUCCUUUGCUUAAUUAAACUCAAUUCAUUUCAAAUGAAACUCAAUUGAUUGCUAGAUUAAUUUAAAUUUAAUUCGUCUAAAGUUUUCUUUUAACAGUUCCUACCUUGUUGAGUUGUCGUGGGAAUCAAGUGGAAAUUUCUUUUUCACAUGGAAAGGGCUUAGCAUAGCCUGGCACGUGCUGAGUGUUCAGUGCACACUGGUUAUGAUGAUCACAGUUAGUGUCUCCAUCUUUGGUCUGUUCAGCGCUACAGUGUUUGGGGGCCAGCUAGGCAGUGCUGCAGCUGCAGCUCUGUGUGUGUGUGUGUGUGUGUGUGUGUGUGUGUGUGUGUGUGUGUGGAGGGGGCUGUGAGAUUGGCGGGCUCAGGAGAAGAUGACUACUAGCUGUUGCCAAAGUUUCUUUUCUGCAAGGGAAAGCCACAAGUCACUGGCUCCAAUGUGGACUUUUAAAAGGCCUUCCUUCCUUUCUCUCUUACUUCUGGGGAGCCCAUGGAUAGGAAAUGGCACUAAACUGACUUCAUCUCUGUACCCUGAUGCCUCCAUCGCCCUCAGAGUUUACGCCCUCGAUGAAUCACUUAGAGUGAACUGGGAGCUGUGUAUGAGGUGACGUCACCCUGAGAUAGAGCUCUGUGGUCACUGGGAGGUGGCUGUGUGCGUUAUCUCCCUGUGGCAUGCCAGGAGGCGUGUGUGUGUGCACGAGUGUGUGUGUGCAUGCAUGUGCAUGUGUGUCUUUGUGUGUGUGCAAGUGUGUGUAUGUGUGUGGAUAAGGGAGAGGGAGGGAGGGAGCUGGGCUGUCUCCCCUUCCCCACAAGUGGACCCUGCAGCUCAGAGCCGGAGGUGUGAGCUGAGUUUGGCGUUUGUAUGUUGCUUGAGUUGGAAUUUGAACUCACAGGGGACAGGAAAGGAUGCCUGUCCCCAGGACUGACUAACGACAUCAGGCCUGGCUAUUGAACUUCCUGCUCUGCAGAUCCUGGGUUCUGGGAGGAUGAGGAAAGGAUGAGCGAAGGCUGGGGGAUCUCUGGGGUGGGGGUGGACUCAGUGAGUGGAAAGAGUAAAGGUGUUGGGGGUGGACUCCCUGUCUGUGUGACCGCUGGCAAAGUCCUUGACCUCGGCCAGUCUGCGUUUCCUGAUCCAGGCAGUGGGGACAUGGUCCUUUCCCUCAGAGGGGUGGUGAGGAUUCAAUGAACUCCUUUAGGUAGAGCUUGCUCAGGAGCAUCAGCUGUAACACCUGUCCUGGAAGGUUGCUAGGUGCCCUCACCCUUUGUUCUGUGCCCACCUCUCUCCACCCCCUCUUCAGCCCGGAUCCAGACGAGGCCUGGGGAAAGUCUCCCAGAAAGCGCCCUGACCAGGGCGGUGCCAGCUGGGUUCCUGUUUGCCUAAACCCAAGCAGCAAGCUCUUCAAAGGAACCUAACAAACCGGACAGAGAGCUUUGUUUUUUUCCUCACAGCAAAGGAGACAGAAAAGUUUGCUGAGUAAGUCAGACACCAUUAAACUCACAAAAAGGCUCUUUGUUCCGGCCUGAGAGGGGGUGAAAAAAAUAAGCGAAGUGGUCGAAGGGCGUGUGUUUGCUUCCGUGUUCUUGGAGUGUUUGGGCAGGGCUCACCCAGCUCACUCUUCCUGCUCUCCCCCAUCUCUGAGUCCUCUGCCCCUGGUGAUCCCACCUGUUAUAUCAAAAAAUUGCACCACGGCCCAGCCAGAAGGAACGGCUAAGGGCUGUUAGUCCAGCCAGAGUUUCACUUUUAAAAUGAUGCUACCUAGUACUUAAGUUAGACGCUCCCGCAGGGCUUUCCUGUGCUUUUUCUUGUUGGAAGUGAUGUGACCGAGGCUCUUGCCAAAGGUCAGUUAGUUGCUGUCUGAGCUGGGCUUGGGACCAAGCCCCUCGUACCCAGCCUGUUGUCAUUUACUGUCAUCCCUAGUGCUAGCUGUGGAAAAGUCUGCUUGAUUCUAACCCUUUUGUCUCUAGUACAGUGAGAUCUAUGCUAAGAUUUGUUUGUCCUCAUUAAAUUAUAAAUUCUUCCAGGCAGGUCACUAUGUGGCUGGUGCCCCCCUGCAGUUGUGCAGUGUGCAACCUGUCAGACUGAACAUGGCAGCCCUGCUUCUGGGGUUAAUACAAUAUUAUUGAUUCAUUCUUCCAGCAGAUGGAACAAUGCCUGUGGGGGGCAAUUAUGCCUUUGCUUCUAAGACUCGUGCUUGUAAUGCCCAAAAUCCAGUGUCACUGAGCCCAGCUGUGCUGAGAGAAACCAGCAAGUGGGCCAAAAAGAAAAGGUCUCCUCCUCCCAGACACACUGGCUGCUGGAGAAAGCCUGUGUGUUCUUAGGUGGCUGGGCUAGGUGGGGGCAGGCUCAUGGGCAGGGGAACCAGUCUCUUAGGUGGGCAUUUCUGGGGGGCUCUCAUGGGGUGGAACUAACCAGCCAGGCCCAGUUCUCUCCUUUGGCAGCCAGAGAGGGGAGAAUGUCAGAUGUUUGUGCCUUGACUCAGCAGGUGACGUUGUGAACAUUUAUGAGCUUUUCUUCCUUUGGGCUCAUUUCUUUAUCUGUUAAAAGCAGGCAGGGCAGUGCCCAGCCCGCACCUGCCCAGAAGGACAGACAAAACAUAAAAGGGCGGGGUGAUUGUGAAAUAUCACUGGGCAUUGUUCAUGUCAGAGCUCCUGGUGCAGUGCGAUGCCCAGGACUUUGUGUGGGCAGGGCUGGUGCUGAAGUGCAGGAGAAGACUCAGCUCUGGCUGAGCAGGCGCUGACCCACACUGCUGCUCUGUAACUCACACCGUUAACAAUGGAAAGCGUUGCCUUGUUGUCUGUUUUGUGCAUCCAUGUUUUCAUUCCGAUUUUUAGUCCACAUCUCUGGAGGGCAGAAAAUCUGUCUUAUGCUUCUUUUUCCUUCAACUGCAUCCUUGGGAGGGUGGUAGAUAGAAGACAGACAUUCUUUACACAGGUGAGGCCCGCAGGAAGAACCAGGGCCAGUCCUCAUGGUCAUCACACACCUGGAGAGGGAGGCUUCUGUGACUUUGUGUGUGGUGACAACGCUGUGCUGCUUGGUCUUCCGAAUGGUUGGACAGCCUUUGGCAUGUGCUCUAGGACGCCCAGAGCUGCAGGUUGGCCUUGACUCCUCUAGCCUUGCCAAGUCCCUCAGGUAGAUCAGCCCACUGGUACCUUCAGCCGGCCGGCACCCUCCUGCCCAGGUGGGGCCAUGCCUCUGUUGGCUGCACUGUCUUUCAGGAGGGUGUCCUUGGCUCUGGCAUUCUGGGCUCCUAGAACAGAACUGCAAUGGUUUUCCUCAGCCUGCGUUCCUGACUUCUGUCCAGCUUGUGGUCUGCCUUGUGGCUCCCUUCCCUGGGGACCGUCCCCUCUGUCCCCCACCAGGAGGGUCAUGCCUGCCACACACUGCUCCUAACAACCCGCCCUGUGAUGGCUCUGGCUGGUGACCCGCAGCUGCUGGCCAGGCUGGGCUGAACCCGGAUGGCUGCGGAUCAGCAGAGCACGCGCCCCACCGCGUUGGGCCUGCUCUCGGAUAUGCUGCUGGUGGACUGACUCAUAACUAGCGCUUCCUCUCAACAAAAACAAACACCCAGGGAGAGACUCAAGGGCCCUCCUUGGCUAAACAAUUCUUGAGAUUGAGUUGGAAGGGAAAACCCAUUACACAAAGGGCUUUGCAGGGGAAGAGGGGAGAAGGCGAGAAGCCAGAACAAACACAAGAAGGCCCAAGCCACCCAGGGACUGGGAGAGGGACUCCGGCUCAGGUGGGCGCGGCCAUAUCCACCUUUUUGGGACUGAGACACUGAGCACAUUUGCUCACUGCUUUCCCUCCGACAGCUGUUAAAGCUGGUGCUUUGAACCCAGCCCUGGGCAGGGUCCUUGCUGGCUCCGGGAACCUCCAUUCUUGCUGGGCUGACCCUUUGCACAGCGGGCUAGGGCAGCCCUGGGUGUGGGGCUCCAGCUCACAGACAGUGUGAUCAUGAAAUGAGGAAAGUGUGGGCUUUGGAGUCUGUGAGACCUGGCUGCAAAGGCUGCUCUGCUGGCCCUAGCUUUAUGGGCUCAGGCAAGUGACUUAACCUCGCAGAGUCUCAGUUUCUUUAUCUGAGAAAUGGGUGGUGAUGCCUACUUGGGAGAUUGCUGUGAGGAUUAAAGAUGACCUAUGUACAGUGCUGGAACAUAGGAGGCAGUUACUACCUAGCAGCUAAUCUUACUUAAUUAAAUAUCUUCCCCUCUCAAAUAAACCUUCUGGGUCUAGCAAAGAAAGUUGAGUAAGAUACAGGCCUUCUCCACUGGACACACACAGCUCCUUGGGGACCAUCUGGUGGGAUCUCAUUCCCAGGCCCCAGGCCAGAUGCUCAUCAGCACCCAGUGAGGCCACAGCCAGCCCUGAUUCCAGGUCACUGGCCCACCUCUGGUCAUAGUGGCCUCUUCUGUCUUCUCAUCAUCCCACAGUUAGGCAGGACCUCCCAUGAACCAAUGGAAAAAUGCCCAGUAGUACAGAUGCCAGCAUGCUGACCAGGGAACAGGCACAGGUCACCUUGGGCUCGGUGUGGAGCCAUCAGCUGGCCAGGGGGACCUCACUGUCCUCCUGGUUGCAGAGGAAGGCACUGGGCUUGUGGGAAGAGUCUUAGAGAAAAACUUUGCAAUGGGGCAUGGCCACAGGACUGAGGGCCAAGCAAAGACUACUGAUGAGAAUUUCUGUGGGGGGAGAGUUUCAUUUCAAUGGAAGGAAGAACUUUUAUCAGUAAGAACAAAAACUUCACUGUUGAAGAAUAGAUUCAAGGGCACCUUCACCUUCUUUGUCCCUCCUUGACUUGGCCACUGGUGGUAGUGUGUGUGCACAUGUACGUGGGUGUGUGUGUGUUGUUCAGCUUAAUAAAUAACACAUCAAAAUCAUGCAGUGCAGUCAAAUUCAUAUGAGAAAAAAAUUUGUUUGUUCUCAAGUUCUGUGAAAGUAGAUAUACCUGAACCAGCCAACCACUGACCUCCAACUACCAAGUUCUGCCAAAAGUUGUGACACUCAGAGGACAAACCAGUUAAGCAGUGUUUGUCAAAAAAUAUUCCCUGGACAAGACUUAUUCCUGUCUGGGUGUGUCCACGUUACAAAAGCAUGUCUACACCACAUUGCUACAUCGAUCUUCAGAACGUCUGAGUGAAGUAGGCAGGAGGGUAUUGUCUUCCUUUUGCAGAGGAGGAAAUAACUUGCUCAAGGUUACAUGGCCAGCAAGUAGCAGGCUUGGGAGAACCAGGUCUUCUGGCUGCUUCACAAAGCCUGAUCUAGAAAAGGAGGGGGCUGCCUCGUGAGUCCCGUGGACCCAAACUGAGAUCAGAUGACAGAGGAUCAGAUCAUGGAGACCUUCUGGAGUUCAUAAUUGUACCAUGAAAGCAUUGUCCUGCACGACAGUGAGAGCAGAAGUUGGCACAAUUUUUAGAUGUGUAAUUUGGCAAUAUGAAUCAGAAACCAUAAAGGUGACUAUGGGCUUUGACCAAUUAUUUUCAUUUCUAGGACAGUGUCUUCAAGAAAUAAUCAGAAAUGGGCACCAGGUUAAAAAGUUACACAUAGGGUUACCGUAUGACCCAGCAAUUCCACUCUUGGUGUAAGCCCAAGAAAAUGAAAACAUGUGUCCACACAGAAAAAUUGUAUGUGUUUAUAGCAGUACUAUUUAUACUAACUGAAAAGUGAAAAGACCCCAAUAUUCACCACUAUUGAAAAAAUAAAAUAUGAUCUAUCCAUAUAGUAGAAUAUUAUUCUGCUGUAAAAAGGUAUGAAGUAGUGAUAUUUGCUGCAACAUGGAUGACCCUUGAAAACACUGCGCUAAGUGAAAGAAGCCAGGCACAAAAGACCACAUCCUAUGACUUUGUUUAUAUAAAUCCAGAAUAGGCAAAUUUGUAAAGCUAAAAGUAGAGUAGGGUUGCUUAAGUUUGGAGUAGGAAAGUUGGGAAGAUGCAGAUUCAUUGCUAAUGGGUAUGAUGUUUAUUUUAGCAGAACAAAAAUAUUCUAAAAUUAGAUUGUGGUGAGGGUUGUACAACACUGAAUUAUUUUUAAAAUGUUAAACUGUACACUUUAAAUGAGUGAAUUACAUGGUAUGUGACUUAUAUCUCAACAAUUUUUUUUCUAAAAAAAAAGGGCACCAGGAAGUUCUUCUCAUCAGUUUUCAUAAUAAUAAAAAAAUUUGAAACAAUCCAAGCUCAUAAGGAAAAGAAAUAAUCAAAUAAUUAUAGUACACCCAUAGUUGAUGUAUAAAGAAAUCAAAAAAUAUAAUACAUAAAAAUAUUUUAGACAAUGAGAAAAUGCUCAUGAAAUAUUAAAAAUUAUAAAAUACAAAUGUAUGUUUAGUGUGAUUUCCAUUUUAUUUUAAUUUUUAAAAAUUAAAUGUUUUAUCUUUUAAGAAAGAAUUUUAAGAAAGAAUGCAGAGAUCCUGUGUAUCUUUCACCAAUUUCCCCAGAUGGGAGCAGUUUGCAAAACUGUAGUACAAGACAGCAACCAGGACAUUGACCUUAAUAUGGUCAAGCAACAAAACAUUUUCACCACUGCAAGGAUCACUUGUGUUGCCCUUUUAUAGCCAUGCCCCCUUUCUUCCUGUGCCAUUCUCACCUUAAUCCCAGGAAACAGCUAACCUAUUCUUCAUCUCUAUGAUUUUGUUAUUUCAAGAUUGUUAUAAAUGGAAUCAUAUAGUGUGAAACCUUUUGGGACUGGCUUUUUUCACUCUACAUAAUUCACUAAGACCCAUCUAGGUUGUUGCACUUAUCCUUAGUUCGUAUUUGUUUAAAAACCUGUACACAGCGUGUGUAGUAGUUUUAUUUGUAAUAGCCCAAACCUGGAAGCAAUCCAGAAUUCUCCAGGGAAACCAUCUGGGCCUGGAGAUUUCCUUUUUUAGGAGGUUAAAAAUUACCAAUUAAAUUUCUUUAAUAGUUACAGGGCUAUUCAAAUCAUCUACUUUAUAUUUGAUGAGUUGUUAUAGUUUACAUUUUUCAAGGAAUUGGUCUAUUUCAUCUAAGUUGUCAAAAUUUACGUGGAUAAAGUUUUUGUGGCAUUCCAUGAGUAUCCUUUUGAUAUCUGUAGGGUCUAUGGUAAUAUCCUUGUUUUAUUUCUGAUAUUUGUAAUUUAUGUCUUUCCUCUUUUUUCCUUUGUCAGUCUUACUAGAAGUUUACCAAUUUUAUUGAUCUUAUAAAAAAACUAGUUCUUGAUUGAUUUUCUCUAUUUUUUUCUGUUUUCAAUUUCAUGGAGUUUGGUUUUUAUUUCUUUAUUUCUGCUUUCUUUGGAUUUACUUUUUUUUUAGGUUCUUGAGGUGGAAGCUUAGAUUAUUUAUUUGAAUUUUUCCUUUUUCUAAUAUAUUCAUUUAGUGCUAUGAAUUUUCCCCUCAGCACUGCUUUAGCUGAGUGCCACAAAUUUUGAUAUGUUGAAUUUUCAUUUUCAUUCAGUUCAAUGUAUUAAAAAAUUAUCUGGAGACUUCCUCUUUGACCUCUGGGUUAUUUAGAAGUGUGCUAUUUAGUUUUCAAGUGUUAUGAGAUUUUCCUAUCAUUUCUCUGUUAUUGAUUUCUAGUUUGAUUCCAUGUGAUUGGAGAACACACGCUAUAAGAUGUGAAUUCUUUUGAAUAUGUUGAGGUUUGUUUUGUGGCCCUGAAUAUAGUCUAUCUUAGUGUAUAUAUUUUGAAGUAUGGGAAAAUGUUCAUGAUAUAUUAUAUAAAAAUAUAAAUUAUAAAAUGUGUGUAUAGUGUGAUUCCAAUUUUAUGUUAACUGCCCUUUAUUUUCCUCCUUAUCCUCUUCUGAAUUAUCUAAAGUUAAGAAUUCUACCUUUUAUGAUCAGAAAGUUUUUUUUUUUAAAUGGAAAGAGCAGUGGGUAGUGUGUCAUAAGAUACAAGUUUAAAAACUGGGCUCUCAUUUUCUAGCAAUGUGACCCAGGCACUGCAUCUCAUUUUAUCUAAUUGAGCCUCAUUUCUAAAAUCUAUAAAAUGGAAAUAAUAAAAUGCCCACUUUAUAGAGUUAUUGUAUUAAACAAUCCAAAGCCAGCAUUUAUUAAAUGCCCAAGCAGUGUGCACACGGUAUGGUGGUGUUUCUAUUACAGUGAGGAAGCUGGACUCUUUUAUCUCUUGGGUCCCUUGCGACUAUUUGCUUUUAAGCCUCUGUGAUUCUUUCACUGAGGAGCAGACAGAAGUCUGAAACAUAUUGUGUCUGUGGACAGAACUCUCCAUAAAUUGCUGUUCUCCAGAUAUUUCUGGAAGCCUGGGAGUAUAAUUGGGAUGUAACAAAUUUGGACUUUUUAGCAAUGUUCCAAUUUCAAAUGUUCUGUCCUCUUGCUCCCCUAGUAUAACAGUAAUGUUUUCACCAUGCAAUUUCAUUUCUGGUUAGAAAAAUGUGGAUAUUAGGUUAAAAGAUUCACCUGAAAGGAGAAGAAAAAUUCUUGGUUGUCUGCCAUACCCUUUACUAGAAACCUUUCCCCUCUUCUUAGGCCUGUGAUUGUUCUCCAAAGCAGGUGAUUGUAAUCAAGCUCCCAAGAACCAGGUUAUCAGUCAGUUUUACAGCCCUAAUUUCUCAAUGGCAGGAAAGGAGUGGGGCCUGUAAGAUGAGUCAAGGAGGGACAGGGUUUCCUUGGUAUUACUUAAUUUUAAAGUCCUUUUCCCUGCCCAUGCAUGACUCCCAAUCCACCGCUGGGCUGGCCUCUAGAAGAACCGCUGUAGGAGCUCUCACCCUGCCAGGGCCACCUCCGGUCUUCUCUCUGUGUCUUCCACCCUUCCUUGGCCAGCAGACAGUCUUCUGGUUUUAGAAGUGUCUUUUCUUCCUACUUGUGUGGUAUUCCCUUCCAAAUCCACCCUAUCCAUGUGGAUGGAGUCUUCUUGACCAAGAGAGCCAGGGUCCAAGCUUUUCUAAGGAUAUUCCAGAGGAUACUAGGGUCUAUUCAGCCAAUGAACCCUUAGCCCUGCUUCCAGACUCGGUGUACUACCAUCCCUCUCAAAGCUCCCUGUUCAUCCAAUGUGUAGUAUCUACUGAUAAUUCAGCAUCCCGUGCCAACCAGUCAUGCCCCACUCUGUGAUCUUAGGGUGGCGGAUGCCUAUUUAUACAUUGCCCUUAUUUUAUUUUACACCCUUUAUCACCUGGGUCUGUGAGUUUCUUGGGUUCAAGGACUUUUCUCAUUUGUUUUUGUUUAUUUUGAUCAAGGUAAAUAUAUAGCAUAAAAUUUACCAUUUUAGGUACACAAUUUGGUGGCAUUAAGUGUACCAUAGUCUCAAUGCCUUAGUCUCAACACUAAGUCACAUGAAAUCAAACUAGAACUGUCACCACCAUCCAUUUCCAGAAUUUCAUCAUCCCAAACGGUAACUGUCUACCCGUCAAACAACAACCCCAGCUGGGCGCAGUGGCUCAUGCCUGAGGUCCUAGCAUUUUAGGAGGCCGAGGUGGGCAGAUCACUUGAGUCCAGGAGUUCCAGACCCGCCUGAGCAACAUGGUGAAACCCUGGCUCUACAAAAAAUACAAAAAUUAGCCAGGAGUGGUGGUAUACGCCUGUAGUCCCAGCUACUGGUGACGGGGGAGGCCUGGGAGCUGAGGUGGGAGGAUGGCUUGAGCCUGGGGAGGCGGAAUCUGCAGUGAGCCGAGAUUGCACCAUUGCACUCCAGCCUGGGUGACAGAGUGAGAUACUUUCUGAAAAACAAAAAAACAAACCAAAACAAAACAAAACACCCCAACAAACCCAUUUAUUUUUGCAUCUUCUGUCUUCUAUGUGAGGACCUUUGCCUAGCACACAUCCAGGCAGACAUAUUGUGACAUUGUCCACAGACAUGAGACAUACUGUGAAGGUGCCCUUGAGUUGUGCAAGACAGUGGUCAAGCUCCCAUCCCACUUCUUAACACAUGGCGGGACCUUAAAUGUUCUUAAAAUUGAACCAACCGGAAAGCAGGAUAUUAUGGGCACACUUUUAAUCCUUGGCUCUUGGGGUAAACUGCCCUCAAGAAAGACCUUGACUUUCACCCUGGGGAGAAGAUCUCUCUUUCAUGGCCUUCCAAAUUCUGCGAUCUGUGGCAUUAAUUCUGCUCAAAUUGAUUUCAUUUGUCUAAUAUUUUCAGCCUAAUGAGACAGUGGGCUGUGCUACGUGACCGAACCAGCAACUAAAGCAACAGGGCCUUCCCCUUGGGGUGUCCAUUCCCCAGGGUCGGGCGAUAGGAACUUCCUUCCAAGCGACUGAACCAGCAGCUACAGCAACAGGGCCUUCCCCUCGGGGUGUCUGUACCCUACGGUCAGGUGAUAAGAACUUCCUUCCAUGCGGCUCUCGUCUUUGAAAUCAUGACUUUAAUGGUGGUGAUAAGACCACAGAAACUUUUGCUACUUGAAUCCUCUCAAGGGCAGCUUAGAAAAAGUCAAUUUUGCUAGAGACAUGGGGAGACACAGAACUCCUCCAUAUGAAAUACAUCAUCCCUGUUUUAGGACAAAAGAGCGGGUCUGUGGGUAUGAAGUGGACGGCACCCUCCUCCCUUCAAGCGCAGCCCAGCCCUCCUCUCCCCUCCUCUCCUGCAAGGUGUCGGUGAUUCCUCCGGCUUGCCCUGGGCUCUCCCUUCUCAGACCAGGCGCCUCUGUGGUCAGCAUUGUGCGUCUGGUUGCUUACAUGCCCCUGCUUGUUUACGGUGAUUGUUUUGUGUCCACAGAUCCUGGAGAAUGAGCUAUUUGAGGAACAAGACUUAACUUUGCUAUGCAUAGCUCAUCGAGGACGUUCCAGCAGAACUUAUUCCCUGAGUGAUAAAGCAUACAGGGUGUAGGUUUCUGUAGAAAGUCAGACAGAAACAGAUGGAACUAAAGAAAACACAGUUAGAGGGGUCCCCAAAUAACUGACUUGUGCUUGUCUCUUUGGCUUUUGCAUUAUCUCUGAGACGCAGAAUGUACCUGGAACAUUCCCCUGGAGGGCAGGACCUGUGAAAACAGGAGCAGGAGGAGCUGGCAUCAGCUGUGCUUGCUCCCAGUUCUGCAGCCUGAAGGGAAAAGGCUCCUGAAGCUUUCUUACCACAGGAAGGAAAAACAACUUGCAUUAAGGCUGUGUCCCAAGAUCAAAGACAUUCUUAAACAAUGAAUGAGUACCAGGGAAAAAUAUGUUAGGCCAGAGUGGAAGUUGGGUUGUAUUUGGAAAGAAGUGGCGGUACCGAGCAAAGAUGGGGAGAGAGGGUCAGGAGUAGAAGAAACAGGCCGGGCACGGUGGCUCACGCGUGUAAUCUCAGCACUUUGG